GAUGAAGAACGUAGCGAAAUGCGAUAAGUAAUGUGAAUUGCAGAAUUCAGUGAAUCAUCGAAUCUUUGAACGCACAUUGCGCCCCCUGGUAUUCCGGGGGGCAUGCCUGUCCGAGCGUCAUUACAACCCUCAAGCUCAGCUUGGUGUUGGGCCCCGCCGCCCCGGCGGGCCCUAAAGUCAGUGGCGGUGCCGUCCGGCUCCGAGCGUAGUAAUUCUUCUCGCUCUGGAGGUCCGGUCGUGUGCUCGCCAGCAACCCCCAAUUUUCUUCAGGUUGACCUCGGAUCAGGUAGGGAUACCCGCUGAACUUAAGCAUACAAUAAGCGGAGGA
rnacentral:misc_RNA from 1 species